rnacentral:rRNA from 1 species
AACCUUUAGCCAAACAAGUAUUAAAGGCAACGCCUGCCCGGUGAAUAAUUAAACGGCCGCGGUACCCUAACCGUGCAAAGGUAGCGUAAUCAUUUGUCUAUUAAUUGUAGACCCGUAUGAAAGGCAAAAUGAGGGCCUAACUGUCUCUUAUAAUAAAUCAAUUAAACUGAUCUCCCAGUUAAAAAGCUGGAAUAUUAACAUAAGACCAGAAGACCCUGUGAAGCUUAAACUAAACUAUUAAACCAAAUAAUAACUCCUUUCGGUUGGGGCGACCUUGGAAAAAAAAAUAACUUCCAAACAUAAUGAAAAUUAAAUCAUUAACACAAGGCUGACAAGCCAAACUAGACCCAGCACAGCUGAUUAUUGAACCAAGUUACUCCAGGGAUAACAGCGCCAUCCUCUUCAAGAGCCCAUAUCAAAAAGAGGGUUUACGACCUCGAUGUUGGAUCAGGACAUCCUAAUGGUGCAGCCGCUAUUAAGGGUUCGUUUGUUCAACGAUUAACAGUCCU